UGGGGAAUUUUGCACAAUGGAGGAAACUCUGAUGCAGCGACGCCGCGUGAGUGAUGAAGAUCUUCGGAUUGUAAAACUCUGUCCUUAGUGAAGAUAAUGACAGUAACUAAGAAGCAAGCCCUGGCUAAAUACGUGCCAGCAGCCGCGGUAAUACGUAUGGGGCAAGCGUUGUCCGGAAUUAUUGGGCGUAAUGGGUACGUAGGCGGUUUAAUAAGUCCUAAUUAAAAGGCUAUGGCUCAACCAUAGUAUGGUUAGGAAACUGUUGAACUUGAGUAGAUGAGGGGAAAGUGGAAUUCCAUGUGUAGCGGUGAAAUGCGUAGAUAUAUGGAGGAACACCAAUGGCGAAGGCAACUUUCUGGAAUCAAACUGACGCUGAGGUACGAAGGCGUGGGGAGCAAACAGG
rnacentral:rRNA from 1 species